rnacentral:rRNA from 1 species
UACGUAGGGUGCGAGCGUUGUCCGGAAUUACUGGGCGUAAAGAGCUCGUAGGUGGUUUGUCGCGUUGUUCGUGAAAACUCACAGCUUAACUGUGGGCGUGCGGGCGAUACGGGCAGACUGGAGUACUGCAGGGGGAGACUGGAAUUCCUGGUGUAGCGGUGGAAUGCGCAGAUAUCAGGAGGAACACCGGUGGCGAAGGCGGAUCUCUGGGCCGUAACUGACGCUGAGGAGCGAAAGCAUGGGGAGCGAACAGG